CCCUUAGAUGUUCUGGGCAGCACGCGCGCUACAAUGGUCUUCGCAAACGGAUGCAUUCUCGAAGGAGAAUGCCAAUCUUGGAAUCUAUGCCUUGGUCGGGACAGUUGCUUGCAAUUUUUCGACUCGAACCAGGAAUUCCUUGUAAUCGUGAUUCAUCACAUCACGAUGAAUACGUCCCUGCCCUUUGUACACACCGCCCGUCGCUCCUACCGAUCGAAGAGUUAGGUGAAUUGUUUUGAUCGAUAAGAUUUGACUAUGGUCAACUCUCGUUGUGAAAUUCUGUGAAUCUGACUGUUGAGAGGAAGGAAAAGUCGUAAC
rnacentral:rRNA from 1 species